rnacentral:rRNA from 1 species
AAGUCGUACGCUUCUUUUUCCCCGGAGCUUGCUCCACCGGAAAAAGAAGAGUGGCGAACGGGUGAGUAACACGUGGGUAACCUGCCCAUCAGAAGGGGAUAACACUUGGAAACAGGUGCUAAUACCGUAUAACAAUCGAAACCGCAUGGUUUUGAUUUGAAAGGCGCUUUCGGGUGUCGCUGAUGGAUGGACCCGCGGUGCAUUAGCUAGUUGGUGAGGUAACGGCUCACCAAGGCCACGAUGCAUAGCCGACCUGAGAGGGUGAUCGGCCACAUUGGGACUGAGACACGGCCCAAACUCCUACGGGAGGCAGCAGUAGGGAAUCUUCGGCAAUGGACGAAAGUCUGACCGAGCAACGCCGCGUGAGUGAAGAAGGUUUUCGGAUCGUAAAACUCUGUUGUUAGAGAAGAACAAGGAUGAGAGUAACUGUUCAUCCCUUGACGGUAUCUAACCAGAAAGCCACGGCUAACUACGUGCCAGCAGCCGCGGUAAUACGUAGGUGGCAAGCGUUGUCCGGAUUUAUUGGGCGUAAAGCGAGCGCAGGCGGUUUCUUAAGUCUGAUGUGAAAGCCCCCGGCUCAACCGGGGAGGGUCAUUGGAAACUGGGAGACUUGAGUGCAGAAGAGGAGAGUGGAAUUCCAUGUGUAGCGGUGAAAUGCGUAGAUAUAUGGAGGAACACCAGUGGCGAAGGCGGCUCUCUGGUCUGUAACUGACGCUGAGGCUCGAAAGCGUGGGGAGCAAACAGGAUUAGAUACCCUGGUAGUCCACGCCGUAAACGAUGAGUGCUAAGUGUUGGAGGGUUUCCGCCCUUCAGUGCUGCAGCUAACGCAUUAAGCACUCCGCCUGGGGAGUACGACCGCAAGGUUGAAACUCAAAGGAAUUGACGGGGGCCCGCACAAGCGGUGGAGCAUGUGGUUUAAUUCGAAGCAACGCGAAGAACCUUACCAGGUCUUGACAUCCUUUGACCACUCUAGAGAUAGAGCUUCCCCUUCGGGGGCAAAGUGACAGGUGGUGCAUGGUUGUCGUCAGCUCGUGUCGUGAGAUGUUGGGUUAAGUCCCGCAACGAGCGCAACCCUUAUUGUUAGUUGCCAUCAUUCAGUUGGGCACUCUAGCAAGACUGCCGGUGACAAACCGGAGGAAGGUGGGGAUGACGUCAAAUCAUCAUGCCCCUUAUGACCUGGGCUACACACGUGCUACAAUGGGAAGUACAACGAGUCGCGAAGUCGCGAGGCUAAGCUAAUCUCUUAAAGCUUCUCUCAGUUCGGAUUGUAGGCUGCAACUCGCCUACAUGAAGCCGGAAUCGCUAGUAAUCGCGGAUCAGCACGCCGCGGUGAAUACGUUCCCGGGCCUUGUACACACCGCCCGUCACACCACGAGAGUUUGUAACACCCGAAGUCGGUGAGGUAACCUUU